AUUGAACGCUGGCGGCAGGCUUAACACAUGCAAGUCGAGCGGGGGAAGGUAGCUUGCUACCGGACCUAGCGGCGGACGGGUGAGUAAUGCUUAGGAAUCUGCCUAUUAGUGGGGGACAACAUCUCGAAAGGGAUGCUAAUACCGCAUACGUCCUACGGGAGAAAGCAGGGGAUCUUCGGACCUUGCGCUAAUAGAUGAGCCUAAGUCGGGUUAGCUAGUUGGUGGGGUAAAGGCCUACCAAGGCGACGCUCUGUAGCGGGUCUGAGAGGAUGUUCCGCCACACUGGGGCUGAGACACGGCCUAGAAGCACCCGGGAGGCAGCAGUGGGGAAUAUUGGACAAUGGGGGGAACCCUGAUCCAGCCAUGCCGCGUGUGUGAAGAAGGCCUUAUGGUUGUAAAGCACUUUAAGCGAGGAGGAGGCUACUCUAGUUAAUACCUAGGGAUAGUGGACGUUACUCGCAGAAUAAGCACCGGCUAACUCUGUGCCAGCCGCCGCGGUAA
rnacentral:rRNA from 1 species